rnacentral:rRNA from 1 species
UACAGAGGUCCCAAGCGUUGUUCGGAUUCAUUGGGCGUAAAGGGUGCGUAGGCGGCGCGGUAAGUCGGGUGUGAAAUCUCGGGGCUUAACUCCGAAACUGCAUUCGAUACUGCCGUGCUUGAGGACUGGAGAGGAGACUGGAAUUUACGGUGUAGCAGUGAAAUGCGUAGAUAUCGUAAGGAAGACCAGUGGCGAAGGCGAGUCUCUGGACAGUUACCGACGCUGAGGCACGAAGGUCAGGGGAGCAAACGGG